ACAAGCGGUGGAGUAUGUGGUUAAUUCGAUGCAACGCGAAGAACCUUACCUGGUCUUGACAUCCCGGAGACCCUUAGGAAACUAGGGGGUGCUUCCAUCUGGAAGAAUCUGGAGACAGGUGCUGCAUGGCUGUCGUCAGCUCGUGUCGUGAGAUGUUGGGUUAAGUCCCGCAACGAGCGCAACCCUUGCCUUUAGUUGCCAGCAGUUCGGCUGGGCACUCUAAAGGGACUGCCGGUGUUAAACCGGAGGAAGGUGGGGAUGACGUCAAGUCCUCAUGGCCUUUAUGACCAGGGCUACACACGUACUACAAUGGCCGAUACAAAGGGCAGCGACACUGCGAGGUGAAGCCAAUCCCGUAAAAUCGGUCUCAGUCCGGAUUGGAGUCUGAAACUCGACUUCAUGAAGUUGGAAUCGCUAGUAAUCGCGCAUCAGCAUGGCGCGGUGAAUACGUUCCCGGGCCUU
rnacentral:rRNA from 1 species